rnacentral:rRNA from 1 species
AACGAACGCUGGCGGCAUGCCUAACACAUGCAAGUCGAACGAAGCCUUCGGGCUUAGUGGCGCACGGGUGCGUAACGCGUGGGAAUCUGCCCUUGGGUUCGGAAUAACAGUUAGAAAUGACUGCUAAUACCGAAUGAUGUCUUCGGACCAAAGAUUUAUCGCCCAAGGAUGAGCCUGCGUCGGAUUAGCUGGUUGGUGAGGUAAAGGCUCACCAAGGCGACGAUCCGUAGCUGGUCUGAGAGGAUGAUCAGCCACACUGGGACUGAGACACGGCCCAGACUCCUACGGGAGGCAGCAGUGGGGAAUAUUGGACAAUGGGCGAAAGCCUGAUCCAGCAAUGCCGCGUGAGUGAUGAAGGCCUUAGGGUUGUAAAGCUCUUUUACCCGGGAUGAUAAUGACAGUACCGGGAGAAUAAGCUCCGGCUAACUCCGUGCCAGC